UACAGAGGUGGCAAGCGUUGUUCGGAAUUACUGGGCGUAAAGGGCGCGUAGGCGGCCUUGUAAGUCCUGUGUGAAAUCCCCCGGCUCAACUGGGGAACUGCACAGGAGACUGCUUGGCUUGAGUUCGGGAGAGGGAAGCGGAAUUCCGGGUGUAGCGGUGAAAUGCGUAGAUAUGACAUAGAACACCAAUUGCGAAGGCAGCUGGCUACACAAAUAUUGACACUGAGGCACGAAAGCGUGGGGAUCAAACAGG
rnacentral:rRNA from 1 species